CCUACGGGGGGCAGCAGUAAGGAAUAUUGGUCAAUGGACGCAAGUCUGAACCAGCCAUGCCGCGUGGAGGAUGAAGGUCCUCUGGAUUGUAAACUUCUUUUAUUUGGGAAGAAACUCCCGAUUUCCUCCGGGAUUGACGGUACCAGAUGAAUAAGCACCGGCUAACUCCGUGCCAGCAGCCGCGGUAAUACGGAGGGUGCAAGCGUUAUCCGGAUUCACUGGGUUUAAGGGGUGCGUGUAAGGCAGUGUAGAAAUCUCCGGGCUUAACCCUGGAACUGCCAUUGAUACUAUUUGUCUUGAAUGCUCUGGAGGUUAGCGGAAUAUGUCAUGUAGCGGUGAAAUGCUUAGAUAUGACAUAGAACACCCAUUGCGAAGGCAGCUCACUACGGAAAUAUUGACGCUGAGGCACGAAAGCGUGGGGAUCAAACAGGAUUAGAUACCCUGGUAGUC
rnacentral:rRNA from 1 species